UGUUGCGCCCCCCCUCUUGCUGCGGUGUUUAUAUUCCGAGGAAUGUAUCGUGAGCGGCAUCGUUCUUCACGAGGGCUCAGAGGGAACGCUGCAGACGAGCUUCUUGGUACUUCAGACACCGAAGAAAGACUAUCAAAGAUGUCUACUGUCAUGGUACUGGACCCGUCGGAACUCUACAGGCCCGAGCGGAAGAAAAUGGAGAACUUUCGCACUUACACGACAAACAAGGAAGAUCCAAUUCAGAAGAGAGUUGCUGAGACUUACAGAAAAAUGCACACGCAUCAGACAGUCGACUUCGUAAACAAGAAGAUGCUCCAGUGGACCAGAUAUGACAGAGCCAAGAUGACUAUUAUGGAAGCCCUAGAGAAGCUGAAUGCCUUGGUAGACGAGAGUGACCCCGAUGUUGACAUUCCGAACAUCGUGCACGCUUUCCAAACUGCAGAGCGCAUUCGACAGGCCCAUCCAACUCUCGACUGGUUCCACUUGACCGGUCUCAUCCACGACCUCGGUAAGGUGAUGGCUUUGUAUGGAGAACCACAGUGGGCCGUAGUGGGAGACACCUUCCCUGUCGGCUGCGCCUACCAGCCCUCCAUCGUCUACUACGAGACGAGCUUCAGGGACAACCCAGACCUUCACAACCCUCUCUACAACUCCAGGCUCGGCAUAUAUACGGAAAACUGUGGGCUGGAUCAGGUGUUAAUGUCUUGGGGACACGACGAAUACAUGUACCAAGUACUGAAGAACCAUGGCACCACACUUCCCGACGAGUCCCUGUACAUGAUACGCUUUCACUCCUUCUAUCCAUGGCAUACUGGGGGAGACUACAUGCACCUCUGCAACAACAAGGACAUGGAGAUACUGCCUUGGAUCCGCGAAUUCAACUUCAUGAAAUGAGACCCCAGGCUGCUGGCAGGUGGAGAGAGGGCAGAUGGAAAGUGCGUGGGAUCGAGGGCUUACCAUGCGCUCGUCGUCGUCGAGGAGUUUACCUGCUACCGACAAUCGCCUUAUACGUUCAGCGAACAUGUCAUAAACGAAGUCUUCCUACAGGAAUAGCAGGUCAUGCGGGAUGCAGAGCAUGACAGACUUCAUGAGGGUUCUUCGAACAUUGGUCAGUUGGCGGGAUAUCAGGUAAGUAAGACGCUUGAAAGUGGGAUCAUAGUUGCACGUAGCAAUGGUUAUCCUGUGGGGAAACCUGCAUUAAAAAGUUAAUCACAAAUGAAUGAGAUACUGAAUUGUGUUGAGUACAGGUCCCAGAUUAGAGUUUUGCCUCGAAGAGCACCAUACGAGGUAUCGUCGUAAGUAUGUGAAGUCAAGUUCUCCGUACCUAAACCGUCGUCAGCGAGCAAUAUUUUCAUCUGUCCGGCGGCAGGUAUGCAUAACAUACUACAAAAAAGUAUUGAAAACACGGUACCAAAUACUCAGUGCAGAAUGUAAUUAGGAUAAGGUACAAAUGAUUGAAAACGAAAGUAAUUAGAGUUGAGCACUAAAUAUCUCAAAGUAUAUUUCAGACACUUUUUUUUCUUCCAUUUUCAUACUUGAACGUCGUCGUCGUCGUUAACUGUUUGUUGGUAACAUUUUCCUGGGUCUGCAUAGAAGUACUGUAUUCUAUGUUGAAGCGAGUGUGCUCUUGAUGUGACAAUUCCAUUUCGACCAGCUAACAUUAUCUUCAUGCUAUCACAGGUGUUAGUAAUAUUUUCUACAAUAUCUUUACCUGACCGUGGUAAUUAUUAGUUCGUUUAACUUUUCUAAGGCAUCAAUUACGCUAUACUGUAUGUCAUUUGUCCUCAUGUCCCUUUCCAUCCCUUUUGUCUCAACGUCCUAACUUCCAAUUUGAGGAAAUAAAA